UACGGGGGGGGCAAGCGUUGUUCGGAAUUACUGGGCGUAAAGGGCUCGUAGGUGGCCAACUAAGUCAGACGUGAAAUCCCUCGGCUUAACCGGGGAACUGCGUCUGAUACUGGAUGGCUUGGGUUUGGGAGAGGAAAGCGGAACUGAUGGUGGAGCGGUGAAAUGCGUUGAUAUCAUCAGGAACACCGGUGGCGAAGGCGGCUUUCUGGGUCUUACCUGACGCUGAGGAACGAAAGCCAGGGGAGCGAACGGG
rnacentral:rRNA from 1 species